rnacentral:rRNA from 1 species
AUUGAACGCUGGCGGCAGGCUUAACACAUGCAAGUCGAGCGGGGUGAUGGUGCUUGCACUAUCACUUAGCGGCGGACGGGUGAGUAAUGCUUAGGAAUCUGCCUAUUAGUGGGGGACAACAUCUCGAAAGGGAUGCUAAUACCGCAUACGUCCUACGGGAGAAAUCAGGGGAUCACUUGUGACCUUGCGCUAAUAGAUGAGCCUAAGUCGGAUUAGCUAGUUGGGGGGGUAAAGGCCUACCAAGGCCACGGUCUGUAGCGGGUCUGAGAGGAUGAUCCGCCACACUGGGACUGAGACACGGCCCAGACGCCUACGGGAGGCAGCAGUGGGGAAUAUUGGACAAUGGGGGGAACCCUGAUCCAGCCAUGCCGGGUGUGUGAAGAAGGCCUUAUGGUUGUAAAGCACUUUAAGCGAGGAGGAGGCUCUUUUGGUUAAUACCCAAGAUGAGUGGACGUUACUCGCAGAAUAAGCACCGGCUAACUCUGUGCCAGCCGCCGCGGUAA